rnacentral:rRNA from 1 species
CCUACGGGAGGCAGCAGUGGGGAAUCUUGCGCAAUGGGCGAAAGCCUGACGCAGCAACGCCGCGUGCGGGAAGAAGGCCUUAGGGUUGUAAACCGCUUUCAGUAGGAACGAAAAUGACGGUACCUGCAGAAGAAGGUGCGGCCAACUACGUGCCAGCAGCCGCGGUGACACGUAGGCACCAAGCGUUGUCCGGAUUUAUUGGGCGUAAAGAGCUCGUAGGCGGUUCAGUAAGUCGGGUGUGAAAACUCUGGGCUUAACCCAGAGCCGCCACUCGAUACUGCUGUGACUUGAGUUCGGUAGGGGAGCAGGGAAUUCCUAGUGUAGCGGUGAAAUGCGCAGACAUUAGGAGGAACACCGGUGGCGAAGGCGCUGCUCUGGGCCGAUACUGACGCUGAGGAGCGAAAGCGUGGGUAGCAAACAGGAUUAGAUACCCUGGUAGUCCACGCCGUAAACGUUGGGCACUAGGUGUGGGUUCCAACCAACGGAAUCCGCGCCGUCGCUAACGCAUUAAGUGCCCCGCCUGGGGAGUACGGCGGCAACGCUAAAACUCAAAGGAAUUGACGG